UACGAAGGUCCCGAGCGUUGUUCGGAAUCACUGGGCGUAAAGGGAGCGUAGGCGGUGCGGUAAGUCAGAUGUGAAAUCCCGGGGCUCAACCCCGGAACUGCAUCCGAUACUGCCGUGCUAGAGGAUUGGAGAGGUAGCUGGAAUUUACGGUGUAGCAGUGAAAUGCGUGGAUAUCGUAAGGAACACUCGUGGCGAAAGCGAGCUACUGGACAACUCCUGACGCUGAGGCUCGAAGGCCAGGGUAGCGAAAGGG
rnacentral:rRNA from 1 species